rnacentral:rRNA from 1 species
GACGAACGCUGGCGACGUGCUUAACACAUGCAAGUCGAACGGACAGGCCCUGCUUUUGUGGCGUGCUCGAGUGGCGCGCGGGUGAGUAACACGCGAGUAACCUGCCCUUGACUUUGGGGUAAAUUUAGGAAACUGCGGCUAAUACAGGAUAGGAGCUCCUGCUGCAUGGUGGGGGUUGGAAAGAUUCGGCGGUUGGGGAUGGACUGGCGGGUUAUCAGCUUGUUGGGGAGGUAGUGGCUUACCAAGGCUUUGACGGGUAGCCGGCCUUGGAGGGUGACCGGCCACAUUGGGACUGAGAUACGGACCAGACUCGUACGGGAGGCAGCAGUGGGGAAUAUUACGCAAUGGGCGGAAGCCUGAUGCAGCAGCGCCGCGUGCGUGAUGAUGGCCUUCGGGGUGUAAACCGCUGUCGCCUGUGACGAGGCGUGAGUGACGGUAAUGGGUAAAGAAGCACCGGCUAACUACGUG